rnacentral:rRNA from 1 species
CCUACGGGUGGCAGCAGUGAGGAAUAUUGGUCAAUGGGCGAGAGCCUGAACCAGCCAAGUCGCGUGAGGGAAGACGGUCCUAUGGAUUGUAAACCUCUUUUGUCGGGGAGCAAAAAGGCCUCGUGAGGCCACAAGUGAGAGUACCCGAAGAAAAAGCAUCGGCUAACUCCGUGCCAGCAGCCGCGGUAAUACGGAGGAUGCGAGCGUUAUCCGGAUUUAUUGGGUUUAAAGGGUGCGUAGGCGGACUGGAAAGUCAGCGGUAAAAUCGAGAGGCUCAACCUCUUUCCGCCGUUGAAACUGUCGGUCUUGAGUGGGCGAGAAGUAUGCGGAAUGCGUGGUGUAGCGGUGAAAUGCAUAGAUAUCAGGAGGAACACCGGUGGCGAAGGCGGCCUGCUGGACUGCAACUGACGUUGAGGCCCGAAAGCGUGGGGAGCAAACAGGAUUAGAUACCCCAGUAGUC